rnacentral:lncRNA from 1 species
GUCAUCUUCCUGGGGACCUUAUAGCAAGGUCUCUCUUCAACUAACUUCUGCAUUACUUCCUCACAUGAAUGCAUACAUGUAUAUCUAUACUUAGAAUAUAAAAGUGAAGUUGACAAUAUGAUUAGGGACUCUUUUUUUUCUUUACAAAACUCUGUGUCAGUGUAGUAAUUUUCGAUUUCUUUAUCACAAAGCUGAUUGUAAAGUACUGAAAUAAAUCAAUUCAAUGAUAAAAUGAUCCUGGCAAGCAGACUAAGUAGCUUACAUAAGCACAAAAAGGAAGACUUGAGUGAAACGAAAAUUUCUGGACCUGGUGAUAUAUGAUACCACUUGAGACCUUGUUUUUGACAGUAUGUAAUCUUAAACAGGAAUUCCCAAACAGAAUAUCAACAUGGUAAUCUUCAGAAUUAAAUGUUUGUCAUAAUAUAUGGAAAAUAGUGCUUGUCUUAAUGUCACAUGUUCUCUCUUCUUGGAGGCUCCUAGCUCCACAUCAUCAGGUAAUUAAGUAACCUUUAGAAACUAUGGAAACCAGGAAAGUAAAUGAGGACCAUUGCCAGGAUAGGGGUGAGUGUGAGAGCAAGAGACAGCAGAAAUGCAGGAUACAAGUAUCUGAUCGAGAAAAUGGGAAUGGCAGUGCUACUAAGAGGCAGAGUACAUACAGAAGAAGCAGGGAAAAAGGAGUUAAAUAUUCAAUGACAUCAUUGAAA